rnacentral:rRNA from 1 species
UAUGGAGGGGGAUAACGACGGGAAACUGUCGCUAAUACCGCGUAUUAUCGGAAGAUGAAAGUGCGGGACUGAGAGGCCGCAUGCCAUAGGAUGAGCCCAAGUGGGAUUAGGUAGUUGGUGGGGUAAAUGCCUACCAAGCCUGCGAUCUCUAGCUGGUCUGAGAGGAUGACCAGCCACACUGGAACUGAGACACGGUCCAGACUCCUACGGGAGGCAGCAGUGGGGAAUAUUGCGCAAUGGGGGGAACCCUGACGC